GAUGAACGCUGGCGGCGUGCUUAACACAUGCAAGUCGAACGGGAAACCUUUUAUUGAAGCUUCGGCAGAUUUAGCUGGUUUCUAGUGGCGGACGGGUGAGUAACGCGUGGGUAACCUGCCCUAUACAGGUGGAUAACAACCAGAAAUGGUUGCUAAUACCGCAUAAGCGCACAGGGCCGCAUGGUCCGGUGUGAAAAACUCCGGUGGUAUAGGAUGGACCCGCGUUGGAUUAGCCAGUUGGCAGGGUAACGGCCUACCAAAGCGACGAUCCAUAGCCGGCCUGAGAGGGGGAACGGCCACAUUGGGAAUGAGGCACGGCCCAGACUCCUACGGGAGGCAGCAGUGGGGAAUAUUGCACAAUGGGGGAAAACCUGAUGCAGCGACGCCGCGUGAAGGAAGAAGUAUCUCGGUAUGUAAACUUCUAUCAGCAGGGAAGAUAGUGACGGUACCUGACUAAGAAGCCCCGGCUAACUACGUG
rnacentral:rRNA from 1 species